rnacentral:rRNA from 1 species
UACGGGGGGGGCAAGCGUUGUUCGGAAUUACUGGGCGUAAAGGGCGCGUAGGCGGCCGACUAAGUCAGACGUGAAAUCCCCAGGCUCAACUUGGGAACUGCGUCUGAUACUGGCCGGCUUGAAUCCGGGAGAGGGAUGUGGAAUUCCAGGUGUAGCGGUGAAAUGCGUAGAUAUCUGGAGGAACACCGGUGGCGAAGGCGGCAUCCUGGACCGGUAUUGACGCUGAGGCGCGAAAGCCAGGGGAGCAAACGGG